rfam:Myotis brandtii contig238997, whole genome shotgun sequence.
GGCAGUUCUGGGGUGACGCACCCCAGAAUCAGGCUCCCUCCUCUCUGGUUCUGGGUGAGUCACCUGAAAAAUGCA